CAGCCGCCGCGGUAAUACAGAGGGUGCGAGCGUUAAUCGGAUUACUGGGCGUAAAGCGUGCGUAGGCGGCUUCUUAAGUCGGAUGUGAAAUCCCUGAGCUUAACUUAGGAAUUGCAUUCGAUACUGGGAAGCUAGAGUAUGGGAGAGGAUGGUAGAAUUCCAGGUGUAGCGGUGAAAUGCGUAGAGAUCUGGAGGAAUACCGAUGGCGAAGGCAGCCAUCUGGCCUAAUACUGACGCUGAGGUACGAAAGCAUGGGGAGCAAACAGGAUUAGAUACCCGCGUAGUCCCUGUAUCUUAUACA
rnacentral:rRNA from 1 species